rnacentral:lncRNA from 1 species
UGAGAUAUUUCUAAGUCCAAUCAUUGGGAUACCCAAAGUUCUAUAAGACAUUAGAAAGAACAUUCCAAUUUGUGUGUUCCAUAGGAAAAUGUUCUCUCCUAUUAGUUCUAUAGGAAAAUGUUCUCAUUAUAGUUUUAUAAAUUUGUGUGUUUUGCAUGUGUAGGUGGAGGAAUGGUUGCUGCAAAGGGGUUAACGAAGUUGUUGUACAUUGUGGUGGCCGAGGAUGGUGGUCUUUAUGUUAUAAUCAAGGUUACUUCAUUUGUCCCUUCGUCUCCAAUGCCAUUGUUUCUGUGC